AAUAGAUACCCGGGUAGUCCACGCCGUAAACGAUGAGUGCUAAGUGUUAGAGGGGUUUCCGCCCUCUAGUGCUGCAGCUAACGCAUUAAGCACUCCGCCUGGGGAGUACGGUCGCAAGACUGAAACUCAAAGGAAUUGACGGGGGGCCCGCACAAGCGGUGGAGCAUGUGGUUUAAUUUGAAGCAACGCGAAGAACCUACCAGGUCUUGACAUCCUCUGACAACUCUAGAGAUAGAGCGUUCCCCUUCGGGGGACAGAGUGACAGGUGGUGCAUGGUUGUCGUCAGCUCGUGUCGUGAGAUGUUGGGUUAAGUCCCGCAACGAGCGCAACCCUUGAUCUUAGUUGCCAGCAUUUAGUUGGGCACUCUAAGGUGACUGCCGGUGACAAACCGGAGGAAGGUGGGGAUGACGUCAAAUCAUCAUGCCCCUUAUGACCUGGGCUACACACGUGCUACAAUGGAUGGUACAAAGGGCUGCAAGACCGCGAGGUCAAGCCAAUCCCAUAAAAACCCAUUCUCAGUUCGGAUUGUAGG
rnacentral:rRNA from 1 species